rnacentral:rRNA from 1 species
GUGGGGAAUUUUGGACAAUGGGGGAAACCCUGAUCCAGCGACGCCGCGUGAAGGAUGAAGGCCUUCGGGUUGUAAACUUCUUUUGGAGGGGACGAAUAAAUUGACGGUACCCUCAGAAAAAGCCACGGCUAACUACGUGCCAGCAGCCGCGGUAAUACGUAGGUGGCGAGCGUUACUCGGAAUUACUAGGCGUAAAGCGUAUGUAGGCGGUUGUAUAAGUCUAUGGUGAAAUUUCCUGGCUCAACUGGGAAGGGACAUAGAUACUGUAUGGCUUGAGUGUUGGAGGGGGAGACGGAAUUCCUGGUGUAGCGGUGAAAUGCGUAGAUAUCAGGAGGAACACCGAUGGCGAAAGCAGUCUCCUGGCCAAAUACUGACGCUGAGGCGCGAAAGCCAGGGGAGCAAACGGGAUUAGAAACCCUGGUAGUCC